rnacentral:rRNA from 1 species
AUGCAGCAACCACUAGGUUUUGAGGACGCUCGGUAUCCCUCUCAUGUGUGCAAGUUGCAGCGGUCUCUCUAUGGACUCAAACAGUCCCCCGCGCAUGGUAUGCUCGGCUCAGCUCUCGUCUUCUCCAGUUGGGGUUUGUUCCCUCUCGCGCCGACGCCUCUCUGUUUUUCCUCCGCCAUCAGGAUGUUCAGAUAUACAUGCUUGUCUACGUGGAUGAUAUUGUUAUCGCUGGCUCUUCUCGACGUGCAGUUGACGGUCUUGUUCAUUCGCUUGCGGCCACCUUUCCUAUUAAGGAUCUUGGGCCGUUGGAGUACUUUCUUGGCUUGGAAGCGUCGUACAAUUCAGGGGGUAUGA